UCCUGGCUUAGGACGAACGCUGGCGGCGUGCCUAACACAUGCAAGUCGAGCGGAGUUAUAAGUAGCUUGCUACUUAUAAACUUAGCGGCGGACGGGUGAGUAACGCGUGGGAAACCUGCCUUGUAGAGGGGGAUAGCCUCGGGGAACCGGGAUUAAUACCCCAUAAAGCUCAGCAUCGCAUGAUGCAAGAGUCAAAGCUUUCGUGCUACAAGAUGGUCCCGCGUCCCAUUAGCUAGUUGGUGAGAUAACAGCUCACCAAGGCGACGAUGGGUAGCCGACCUGAGAGGGUGAUCGGCCACACUGGGACUGAGACACGGCCCAGACUCCUACGGGAGGCAGCAGUGGGGAAUAUUGCGCAAUGGGGGAAACCCUGACGCAGCAACGCCGCGUGAGUGAAGAAGGUUUUCGGAUCGUAAAACUCUGUCCUUGGGGAUGAAUAAAUGACAGUACCCAAGGAGGAAGCCCCGGCUAACUACGUGCCAGCAGCAGC
rnacentral:rRNA from 1 species